rnacentral:rRNA from 1 species
GACGAACGCUGGCGGCGUGCCUAACACAUGCAAGUCGAACGGGGCGAUAUCCUUCGGGAGAUCACUUAGUGGCGAACGGGUGAGUAACGCGUGAGAAACCUGCCUUUCAGUGGGGGACAACAGUUGGAAACGACUGCUAAUACCGCAUAAUGUAUUUUGGGGGCAUCCCUGAAAUACCAAAGCUUUAUGUGCUGAAAGCUGGUCUCGCGUCUGAUUAGCUAGAUGGCGGGGUAACGGCCCACCAUGGCGACGAUCAGUAGCCGGUCUGAGGGGGUGAACUGCAACAGUGGGACUGAGGUACGGCCUAGACUCCAACGGGAGGCAGCAGGGGGAAAAAUUGGGCAAUGGUGGAAACCCUGCCCCAGCAACGCCGCGCGAAGAAAGAAGGCCUUCGGGUUGUAAACUUCUUUUAGCAGGGACGAAUACGUGACGGUACCUGCAGAAAAAGCAACGGCUAACUACGUGCCAGCCGCCGCCGCAGUAA